UGGGGAAUAUUGCACAAUGGAGGGAACUCUGAUGCAGCGACGCCGCGUGAACGAAGAAGGCUUUCGAGUCGUAAAGUUCUUUUAUAUGGGAAGAUAAUGACGGUACCAUAAGAAAAAGCCCCGGCUAACUACGUGCCAGCAGCCGCGGUAAUACGUAGGGGGCUAGCGUUGUCCGGAAUCACUGGGCGUAAAGGGUUCGCAGGCGGAAAUGCAAGUCAGGUGUAAAAGGCAGUAGCUUAACUACUGUAAGCAUUUGAAACUGCAUAUCUUGAGACGAGUAGAGGUAAGUGGAAUUUUUAGUGUAGCGGUGAAAUGCGUAGAUAUUAAAAAGAAUACCGGUGGCGAAGGCGACUUACUGGGCUCAUUCUGACGCUGAGGAACGAAAGCGUGGGUAGCAACCAGG
rnacentral:rRNA from 1 species